UUGUUAAUUGUUGACAGCUACUCUCAUUGGUUGAAAGUUUUUCCAACCCAAAAUAAAACAGCUUUUACUAUGAUCAAGCAUUGUAAGGUUUUGUUUUCUAAAUUUGGUGUUCCUGAUAUCUUCUAUGCUGAUAAUGUUCCCUAUAACAGUAUAGAAUUUAGAAAUUUUACUAAAUCAUGGAAUUUUUAUUUGGAGUUUUCUAUCCUUUUUUAUCACCAGUCAAAUAGUUUUGCAGAGAAGUAUGAAUGAAUAUCUCUAAAAACAUGCUUAAAAAAAUUUAUAAUGUUUUCGAUGCAUCGAUUUAUAUCGAAUAUCCCUAGUCCUGUCGAGAGAUAUAAAAAAGAAGAAGAUAGCACAGUGAAAAAAAAUAUGUUAGCAUUAAAACCUGAUAAUGAAAGUGCUAAUAAAUAAAACUACUAGUAAAUAAAUAUAGUUUUAAUAAAACAUAUAAAAAAAAAAGAAAUUGAACAAUAAACAACGAAACAACAUGAAACAGUUGAUUGACUUGUAUGCAGAAUACAGGAAUGAAGUUUGUACUUUCAAAGUAAAAAUGGUUAAAAUUAUGAAGCUGAAGAAAGCCACAGAGUUUAAAAAUAUUAGCAUCCAAAUAACACCAACAUUAUGAAUUAGUGAAAGGUAGUAGGAAGAAGCUUCAGAACAUAUGCGGAUAACCAGAAUAAAACAGGAAACAGCAGAAACAAGUGAUGCGUACUAUUUAUAGUAAUAAUUAAGUUCGGUGGGUGUACAAGAAGAGAAGUUGCCAAUUCGAAAAACUUAUGAGAAUGGGGACUUGGUUGGAAUGCAGUACAUUAUUAUGAAACCCUAGCAUUAUUGAUACAUGCAUGGCCACAAGAGAAAUAGGGGAAUUGUUGCAAGAACCCAAAAAAACCAUAUAAAUUGAUGAGUCCUGUUUAUUCACAAACGAUAUACAAUUGAGGACGCAUCACUAGGUGUUUGUGGGAAUUUGUCAAGAGGAUGGGAAAUGUUUUUGUUUGCCGUGCCUUUCAGGAGAAAAAAAGUGUGGCUUUAUAUUAUUGGCCAGUACUUAGAACCCGGAACUACUAUUAUGUCUGAUGUCUGGAAUUCCAAUACCAAAACUACAAAAGUAGAAGAUGAAUUUUAUACACUUCACUAUUAAUAAGGAAACUGGAGCACAUACAUAAAGAGCAAAGAUAAGGGAAGAAAGAGAACAGGAAAAGGCCUCUAACUUCAACUGAAUGCAGUGAAUGCAGCAGUGGAAAUUAAAUUAUUACUAAAGAAAAAAAUUUUCUUGCUUUAUCACAAUACCCAGUUGAAGUAGUAACUUGAAACUGAUUUGCCAACUAAGAUGUUAAAAUGCAAAUAGUAGAAAACAAGAUUAAUCGCAAUGAGUAUUUGCUCUUUGGAUGGAUCGAUAUGACUUGAUAAUCUUACUAAUCUCCUUUUAUUCAAUAUGUAGUAAGAAAGCUGCAAAUAAUUAUUUGUAUAGCUUCAGUACAAAUGGUAUUAUUUUGGUGUGAGCGACCCUUAACAUAUAGAGAUAUGAAAAAUAGAUGUUGGCCGAUUCUUGGACUUACACUAUAUUCACAUAAAAAAUCACGAAAAUCGAUCCAGUUAAUUUGGAGGAGUUUGGCAACAAAUACGACUACACGAGAAUUUUAUGUAUUAGAUUAUACAAUCUUUAUGAAUAUACCUUUAUUGGAUUCGAUGUCAUACUUUUAGAUACAUGGGUGAAUAUAUAUUGAGAAGUGCGCUCUGAGGUCGAGAGUUGGUUUCCUUCGAUUAAUUUCCUUCCAGACUCCAAAAUACAAGAACAAUGAAAAUGAAUUGACCGGCUGACUUAAGAAAUGGUUAAAAUGGACUGGAGAAGUCAUUAAAACGAUAGAUAGGAGCAAAAAAUGGAUUCACUAUGUAAAAAUCAAGUUCACUUCCUCCAAGACCUCCAUAUCACAAGGAAACCGAAAAAGAAUUGACCGGUUGGCUUAAGAAAUGGUUAAAAUGGAUUAGAGAAGUCCUUAUCACGAUAGAUGAGAGCAAAAAAUGGAUUCACUAUGUAAAUUUGUACCGUUUGAAGGUGUUUUGGAGGUUAGUAUAUUUCCUGUGAUCUCAUAUUUUUAUUCUUAGUUCUUUCAUUAGCUCUAUUCACCAAAGUUUUUUCUCAGUUUUCAAUGGUGUAGUGUACAUGUCUUCAUUCUUAUAAUAUAUACAUAUCAAUUCAGCUGUAUCUUGUCUCAAUUUUUAUUGAUUUUUGUUUUAAUUAUUUUCCAAUUUCUAUAUUUUUCAAUUUUCUUUCGAAUGUUCAAUUAUCAUUGGGUUAAGAUAUGUUUUCUCUUUAUUGUCAUAUAUUCUGCUGUGUAGGUUAUAGUUGGUACUGUUGUAAAUUUAUUUGUUCUUUUACCUGGUUUUCUGUCUUCUGUUGGUACCAUACUAAGGUAUCCUAAUGUCGUUAUUCUCCCUGAAGUUUUAGCUUCAGAUUUGGUUUCUUUUGAUUUACAUUUAUUAUUUCAACUUUAGUUUUGUCAUUUUUCUUAUUUCUAAGGAUCAGACAUCCAUUAAUUUUUGGAUUCUAUUUUUAAAAUUUACUAUAACAUUAUAUCAUCUGCAAAUAUCAGCAUUUUUAUAGGUUAUGUUUUUAUAUUCAAUUCUAUUCUGAUCUUCACAUUUUUUUAAUAUAUUUGAAUCUAUCUCUCCUAGGAGUGACAAUCCCAAAUGAUCUUGCGGGCCAAGAAAAUAGAAAAAAAAGCCAAUCUGUAUACAAAUAAUACAAUAAGUUAUUGUGUUGAUAUUUCGGCGAGCCACAGAUAAAAUUAUAUUAGUAUUAAUAUAAAUAAAUACCAAAAACUUGGGAGUUAACAUUUUAAACAGAAUUAAUCAUUAUUAUAAAAUAACUUGUAGUAUUUAAUAAUUUCCCUAUUUAGUCAUUUAGUGAGAUAUUUGUUUCUCGAAUUUUCACUAAGCUUUUGUAAAUCAGCAAAAAUGCUUGUAUUUUCAGAUUUCUCAAAAGUGAAUACAAUACUAUUUGCUCGUAUAUGUUUUUUUCAGAUUAGAUUAUUAUUUUUUACUUUUGUUGGGAUUCCGCGUUUUCAGGCAUUCCAGAAUAGACUAUUGGAACAAUAAUAAUUUUUUUUUAAAUGUUUGAUAAAUUUUUAAACCGCCAAACUCUCCCAGGCAAGCAGCGGGUUGGCCAUCCCUAGCCAAAGAACACCUCUGAGAUGAAGAGGAGGCGCUCCAUUAUGUUAGAAACAAAGAAAUCUAAACAAAAUGAGUAUUUACAUAUUGUAGUCUAUGAGUUCUUAGCCUAACAUAGAAAAGAAUAAUUUAAUAAAAUAAAACCAAUAUUAUAUCAUUAUAAAACCAGUAUAAACAAAGUGACUCAUUUUAUUUUCUCAGCAUGUUGAUACUAACGCAACGGUUGUAAUAAAAACAUUUUCCUACUUUCCUCACAUCGAUGGUCAAUAUAUAUUUGCCUUUAUCUGGCAAUAGAAAAUAAUUGAAAAUUGUCAAAUAUUGUAGGGGAUAUCUCGUUUAAAAUAUACAAUUUUUUUAUAUUCUUUGGAACUACAUUUGGCAUUUGCUGGUCUGUCGACGAUAUAAUAUAACCAAAUUGCUGCUACUCUAUUUCACAGGUUAACAUAUUUACGUGUGUACCCUGUAUUUAACUAUUGUAUAUUGUAGAAAGUGAAGGUAAUAA